rnacentral:rRNA from 1 species
UCGGGAAUAUUGCGCAAUGGAGGGAACUCUGACGCAGUGACGCCGCGUAUAGGAAGAAGGUUUUCGGAUUGUAAACUAUUGUCGUUAGGGAAGAAAAAAGACAGUACCUAAGGAGGAAGCCCCGGCUAACUAUGUGCC